GAUUUAAGGGACAUACAUCCUUUCGCUAUCGAUAAUCCAAGCGAAAAGGAAUCUUCUGAAAACUCUUUAAGUACCAUUUCACCCUCAUUCACCAGCGAAUCUAGCUGGAUUUAUGAAUGGUUAAGAACAAUCGAGAGUCCACCUUGCAGCAUAAGGACAGGAGGACAUAACGGGGAUGAAGAAACCUUCAACAGGGAUAACAUCAGUCAAAGGACUCCACGGGGC